rnacentral:rRNA from 1 species
GAUGAACGCUGGCGGCGUGCUUAACACAUGCAAGUCGAACGAGAAGUGGAGACAGAAACCUUCGGGCGGAAGACUUUAUUUCGAGUGGCGGACGGGUGAGUAACGCGUGGGUAACCUGCCUCAUACAGGGGGAUAACAGUUGGAAACGACUGCUAAUACCGCAUAAGACCACAGCACCGCAUGGUGCGGGGGUAAAAACUCCGGUGGUAUGAGAUGGACCCGCGUUCGAUUAGCCAGUUGGCGGGGUAACGGCCCACCAAAGCGACGAUCGAUAGCCGAUUUGAGAGGAUGACCGGCCACAUUGGGACUGAGACACGGCCCAAACUCCUACGGGAGGCAGCAGUGGGGAAUAUUGCACAAUGGGGGAAACCCUGAUGCAGCGACGCCGCGUGAGUGAAGAAGUAUUUCGGUAUGUAAAGCUCGAUCAGCAGGGAAGAAAAUGACGGUACCUGAGUAAGAAGCCCCGGCUAACUACGUGCCAGCAGCCGCGGUAAUACGUAGGGGGCAAGCGUUAUCCGGAUUUACUGGGUGUAAAGGGAGCGCAGACGGCUCUGCAAGUCUGAAGUGAAAGCCCGCGGCUUAACCGCGGGACUGCUUUGGAAACUGCAAGGCUUGAGUAUCGGAGGGGCAGGCGGAAUUCCUAGUGUAGCGGUGAAAUGCGUAGAUAUUAGGAAGAACACCGGUGGCGAAGGCGGCCUGCUGGACGAAAACUGACGUUGAGGCUCGAAGGCGUGGGGAGCAAACAGG